CCUAACGGGUGGCUGCAGUGGGGAAUAUUGGACAAUGGGGGCAACCCUGAUCCAGCCAUGCCGCGUGUGUGAAGAAGGCCCUCGGGUUGUAAAGCACUUUCAGUGAGGAAGAACGCCUGGUGGUUAAUACCCAUCAGGAAAGACAUCACUCACAGAAGAAGCACCGGCUAACUCCGUGCCAGCAGCCGCGGUAAUACGGAGGGUGCGAGCGUUAAUCGGAAUUACUGGGCGUAAAGCGCGCGUAGGUGGCUUGAUAAGCCGGUUGUGAAAGCCCCGGGCUCAACCUGGGAACGGCAUCCGGAACUGUCAAGCUAGAGUGCAGGAGAGGAAGGUAGAAUUCCCGGUGUAGCGGUGAAAUGCGUAGAGAUCGGGAGGAAUACCAGUGGCGAAGGCGGCCUUCUGGGCUGACACUGACACUGAGGUGCGAAAGCGUGGGUAGCAAACAGGAUUAGAUACCCUAGUAGUC
rnacentral:rRNA from 1 species